rnacentral:rRNA from 1 species
AUUGAACGCUGGCGGCAGGCCUAACACAUGCAAGUCGAGCGAGCGGCGGACGGGCGAGUAAUGUCUGGGAAACUGCCUGACGGAGGGGGAUAACUACUGGAAACGGUAGCUAAUAACGCAUAUCAUCAGAUGUGCCCAGACGGGAUUAGCUAGGAGGUGGGGUAACGGCUCACCGAGGCGACGAUCCCUAGCUGGUCUGAGAGGAUGACCAGCCACACUGGAACUGAGACACGGUCCAGACUCCUACGGGAGGCAGCAGUGGGGAAUAUUGCACAAUGGGCGCAAGCCUGAUGCAGCCAUGCCGCGUGUGUGAAGAAGGCCUUCGGGUUGUAAAGCACUUUCAGCGGGGAGGCGUUACCCGCAGAAGAAGCACCGGCUAACUCCGUGCCAGCAGCCGCGGUAAUAC